AUUGAACGCUGGCGGCAGGCCUAACACAUGCAAGUCGAACGCGUGGCGGACGGGUGAGUAAUGUCUGGGACAGUGCGUGAGGGAGGGGGAUAACUACUGGAAACGGUAGCUAAUACCGCAUACCAUCGGAUGUGCCCAGAUGGGAUUAGCUAGGAGGUGGGGUAACGGCUCACCUAGGCGACGAUCCCUAGCUGGUCUGAGAGGAUGCCCAGCCACACUGGGACUGAGACACGGUCCAGACUCCUACGGGAGGCAGCAGUGGGGAAUAUUGCACAAUGGGCGCAAGCCUGAUGCAGCCAUGCCGCGUGUAUGAAGAAGGCCCUAGGGUUGUAAAGUACUUUCAGCUGGGAGGCGUUACCCGCAGAAGAAGCACCGGCUAACUCCGUGCCAGCAGCCGCGGUAAUUC
rnacentral:rRNA from 1 species